GACGAACGCUGGCGGCGUGCUUAACACAUGCAAGUCGAACGGAAAGGCCCCUUUGGGGGUACUCGAGUGGCGAACGGGUGAGUAACACGUGAGUAACCUGCCCUUGACUUCGGGAUAACUUCAGGAAACUGGGGCUAAUACCGGAUAGGAAUCCUUGCUGCAUGGUGGGGGUUGGAAAGCUUCGGCGGUUUUGGAUGGACUCGCGGCUUAUCAGCUUGUUGGUGGGGUAGUGGCUUACCAAGGCUUUGACGGGUAGCCGGCCUGAGAGGGCGACCGGCCACAUUGGGACUGAGAUACGGCCCAGACUCCUACGGGGGGCAGCAGUGGGGAAUAUUGCACAAGGGGCGGAAGCCUGAUGCAGCAACGCCGCGUGCGGGAUGACGGCCUUCGGGUUGUAAACCGCUUUCAGCAGGGGCGAAGCUUGUGGUGACGGUACCUGCAGAAGAAGCACCGGCUAACUACGUG
rnacentral:rRNA from 1 species